rnacentral:rRNA from 1 species
AGUGAACGCUGGCGGCAGGCCUAACACAUGCAAGUCGAACGGCAGCACAGGGGUAGCAAUACCCUGGGUGGCGAGUGGCGGACGGGUGAGUAACACGUGGGUGACCUGCCCUCAGCUCUGGGAUAAGCCUGGGAAACCGGGUCUAAUACUGGAUAUGACUCCAUGACGCAUGUUGUGGGGUGGAAAGCCUUGUGCGGCUGAGGAUGGGCCCGCGGCCUAUCAGCUUGUUGGUGGGGUGAUGGCCUACCAAGGCGACGACGGGUAGCCGGCCUGAGAGGGCGACCGGCCACACUGGGACUGAGACACGGCCCAGACUCCUACGGGAGGCAGCAGGUGGGGAAUCUUGCGCAAGUGGGCGAAAGCCUGACGCAGCGACGCCGCGUGA